GACAGCAGUCGCCGCGGUAAUACGUAGGUGGCAAGCGUUGUCCGGAAUUAUUGGGCGUAAAGGGCUCGCAGGCGGUUUCUUAAGUCUGAUGUGAAAGCCCCCGGCUCAACCGGGGAGGGUCAUUGGAAACUGGGAAACUUGAGUGCAGAAGAGGAGAGUGGAAUUCCACGUGUAGCGGUGAAAUGCGUAGAGAUGUGGAGGAACACCAGUGGCGAAGGCGACUCUCUGGUCUGUAACUGACGCUGAGGAGCGAAAGCGUGGGGAGCGAACAGGAUUAGAUACCCGCGUAGUCCCUGUCUCUUAUAC
rnacentral:rRNA from 1 species